rnacentral:rRNA from 1 species
AGAGGGCGUGAAACCGCUUAGAGGGAAACGAGAGGCGCCGCAAUACCAUCAAGAUUCAGCUGUGGCUUGUGCGUUUGUGCAUGUCUCAGUGCAUUUCUUGUCGGUCAGCACCGAGAGUCGUGCUGGCAGUGUCUGCUUCCGUUCGGAGUGAGGCACUUUUGUGUUCUCAACUUGGGCAGUAGGCAACGCUGGAGCGACAUAUACGUCCUGGAGACAGAUCGGAGUCUGCUGAGCGGUUCUGUUCAUAUGUAGUUUGGUUGAGUGCCGGCUGUGUCUGAAUGGAGCUGUGAUGCAUGGCUUCGAGAAGGUGCUUUCUCGGUGUAAAAGUCGGCUAACCUCCCGACCCGUCUUGAAACACGGACCAAGGAGUCUAAUGUGUGCGCGAGCCAUUUGGUCUAUUAAACCUACAGGCGCAAUGAAAGUAAAGAUCGGUACGGCCGGUUAACACAUGAUCUGUUUGUUUAGGCGGGCGGAGCAGUGUGGUCCCAUCCCGAAUGCUUGUCAUUGGGGUGGAGAUAGAGUGCACAUAUUGGGACCCGAAAGAUGGUGAACUAUGCCUGAA